GGUGAAUUUCCUUUCCUCCUUUCAACAAACAAGAGCCUCUAAACUGUACCACACAAAUAUAUCAAGUUAGCCUUUGAAAUACUCUGGAAAUCCAUGAUGAGGGUUUUACAAAUCGUAUACAGAGUGAACACUAUAGGGGUUUUACAAACUACCAAAAGUUGGCUGCUAAAUAUUUGGAUGGAUGUUAGGAGAGAUGACAUUCAAAUUUUUAGUUUCCAAUAGCAAAAGCUAUCUUCCAACUAUCGUUCCCAAUGUUAAGAGAUCCCACAAGUGUUAAGACUAACUAUAUCCAUUAUGUACAUUUCCAUUUAUGCACAAAUAAACAACCAUAACAACCAUUAAAAUUAC